CCGGACUGGAGCACUCUGCCGGAGGAGCUCCUGGAGCGCAUCGGCAAGAUGCUCCCGUCGUGCCGCCACGCCCUCCAGUUCAGGUCCAUCUGCACGGCCUGGCGCGCUGUGCUGCCGUUCGCCAGGUACAUAGGGCCGUUGCUGAUGCUGCCCUACAACCGCGACUCGCCGGAUUGCCCGGUCACCUUCUACACCGUGGCAGACGGCGGGGAGACGACAUUCACCAGGAACCUCCCGUCGUUGCGCGGCAACGCCAUGCUCGGCUCGUCACGCGGUUGGCUAGCCCUCGUGGACGACGAGGCCGCGUCAUUGACGCUUCUCAACCCGCUCACGGACACCACCGUCGAGCUCCCGCCGGCGGACGAGCACGUCGUGGUGGCCUCCUUUAGUCAAGCGACGAUGCUCGAUGGGAUCCAGACCGUCAUCCUUCUUGCUGACGGCGACGUCAUCAAGCUAGACGAGCUGAAGAAAAGCACAAUGUUCUGUCAAAAAAAGAUGAGCUCGGUCUUCAGCCAGAUCGUGCUCUCCUCCUCCUCGCCUGGCUCCGGCGACUGUGUGGCGAUGGCGGCGCUCCAUGGCUCGAGCACCGUCGCGUUCUGUCGCGUGGGCAUUGACGCGGCGUGGAGCUUGCUUGACACCGACCUUGACUGCGUUACCUUGCUCGUUCAUCUCCAUGGCAGCAGGUUCCUGGCGAUCGACGACGAAUGUUCCGGAAUGUUCAACAUCUGUGACGUUGCGGGUGCAGCUGCAACGGCUACAUCGGUGCCGUUGUCUCCGGCUCCAAUAUAUCGCCGCCAUUAUAUGGAGGUCAAUGGCGAGCUGUUCGUCGUCGGCACAAUGUUUCAGGAUUCCACCUACCUUUGGCAGGUAUACAAGAGCAAUGUCUUCACAGCGACGCUGAGUUGGACAAGGGUGGAGAACGCCGGUGAUCUGACAUUGUUCUUGUCAAGUAAUUUCACGCCAGCAGGCUACGGUGGAGCAGUAAGUGUCUCCGGGUUCAAGAGGAAUGCCGCCUACUGUCUAGCCUUUAGCUCGGACCGUGAUCAGUUUGAGUGGGAGAUCAUUGACAUCGCGAAUGGGACAUCGGAAUUCCAGCCUUGUUCAAAGAAGAUUUUGGGUUCAGGGGCUCUUUGCUGGAUCCAACCGAAUUGUUGG
rnacentral:rRNA from 1 species